rnacentral:snRNA from 1 species
CACGUUUUAGGUUAUAUAUAUAU